GGCUUAUUGAUUAUAAUUUUAGGUCUGGCCUGCCCACUGAUUUAUUAAAUGGCUGCGGUAUACUGACCGUGCAAAGGUAGCAUAAUCACUAGUUUUUUAAUUGAAAGCUUGAAUGAAAGGUUUGAUGAAAAAAUAACUGUCUCUAUCUAAAUUAAUUAGAAUUUUAUUUUUAAGUAAAAAAGCUUAAAUAUAUAUAGAAGACGAGAAGACCCUAUAGAGUUUUAUAAUUAUUUUUAUAAAUAAAAUUUAAGAAUUUUAUAGUUUAUAAGAAUUAUUAUUUAGUUGGGGUGAUUAAAAAAUUUAUUAAACUUUUUUUGUAUUGUUACAUUAAUUUAUGAUUAAUUGAUCCUUAUUUAAAGAUUAAAAGAUAAAAUUACCUUAGGGAUAACAGCGUAAUUUUUUUUUAGAGUUCUAAUCGAAAGAAAAGUUUGCGACCUCGAUGUUGGAUUAAAAGAAAUUAUUGGUGUAGAAGCUAAUAAAUUAGGUCUGUUCGACCUUUAAAAUUUUACAUGAUCUGAGUUUAAACCGGUGUAAGCCAGGUC
rnacentral:rRNA from 1 species